GCUGGUGUGACUUCUCAGUGGACUCUGCCCUGAAUUGGUGACGUGUUCUCCAAAGGGCCCAAGUUAGAAUCCCAAGAGCCUCAGCAAAGGGACUGUGUUCUCCCCCUAUCAAGCCAAGAAAGCAAAAGACUGAAAACUUCAAUAAGGCAAAGGUGAUAAAAAUGUCUUCAUGGACCCUUGAGUAAAAUGGAUUGUCAGUCAGAUUAUCUGGGUUGAAGAUCUGGCUUUGAUGCUAACCACCUACUGACCAGGAGAACGGGGUUUUGUCACUUAGGUGCUCAAUGCUGGACUCCUGAAGACCACAGCUCAGUCAUGUGAGAUACCUGUCAACCAUGAGGAAGCCCAAGGGAUGGAUCAGUUCACAGUGAAACAUCCUUGACGUUCUGUUGUAAGCACCAAAUAGAAAGUGAAGGCAAGAAAGCAGAUGCACAGCCAAAUAAACCGGAAGACCAGGAAGACAAUGAGAGGCCAACAAGAGAAUCUCAGGAUGGAAGAAGAGAUUUUCAUAAAUGAAACUGGAGGCCUUCAGAAACUGCCUGGGUCAGCCUCACUUAAAAGUACAAGAGCAGGUAAAACUUGCCCAGGUGGUAACAUUGGAAACAUACAGGGUUUUGCACCUUCCAGUUAGUGCAUGAGAAAUGUGCUAAAACAUUACAUAGUAGAGACCUUGGUUAUGGUUAGGGUUUUGAUCAGCAAGCCAUUCCCUCACCCUUUAAUUUCCAAGUCACACAGAGUGAGAGUUGACUAAGCCAAUAAAACAAGGUCAUGGACAUUUGCAGUAUGUACACAGAUUGUGAUGUGGUAGGCAAACUGGGAGUUAGGCAGGGGAUAGAGGAGAAAUAUUUUUUGGGUUU